GUGUUUUUGGAGGUGGUAUGCAUACUAACACUGGAAAGAUACAGAGAAGACUAGCAUGGCCCCUGCAGACGGAUGACAUGCAGAUUUGGAAGAACACAUGAGAGGAU
ensembl:snRNA U6 U6 spliceosomal RNA